GGGAGGUCAAGUUAAAUAAAUGAAGAUCAUAUCUUGGAAUGUGCGAGGUCUUGGGAGCAAAAGGAAAAGGGUGGUGGUGAAGGAGCAGUUGUUAAGAAUAAAUCCAGAUAUUGUUAUUUUGCAGGAGACUAAGAAAGAAGUUUUUGAUAGAAGACUUGCAGCUGGUAUUUGGGGUUCUAGAUUCAAAGAGUGGGUGUAUGCCCCUUCAAGGGGUAGGUCUGGUGGGAUUGCGGUGAUGUGGAAUUCUCAAACUACCUCCAUUUCUGACUUUGAAAUUGGGGAAUUUUCUGUUUCUAUAAGAAUUUUGGACGCUUCUGGGGGGGAUUGGUGGCUAUCAGGUAUUUAUGGCCCUUGUCAUCCUAGGGAUAGAAGAAGAUUUUGGGAGGAAUUAGCGGGGUUGUUCGGUUUGUGUGGUAACAAGUGGUGUAUUGGGGGGGAUUUUAACGUGGUUAGGUUUGUAUCUGAGAAAUCUAACGGAGGUAGGAUGACAAGUAGUAUGAAGAUUUUCAAUGAUUUUAUCGAUGACACUAACCUGCGAGACCCAAACCUAUUGAAUGCUUCCUUUACAUGGUCUAAUUUUAGGGAAAACGCAGUGUGCAGAAGACUGGACAGAUUCCUCUUUUCUGAAGAAUGGGAAGAUUCCUUCCCCCAUGUUAAACAUACGGCGUUAGCAAGAGUUACCUCUGAUCACUGUCCAAUUAUGUUGGACACCUCUAUUUUGAAAUGGGGUCCUGGCCCUUUUCGCUUUGAAAAUAUGUGGAUAGAACACCCGGAGUUUAAGAAGAAAUUCAAACAGUGGUGGGGGGAAGAUCAGAUUAACGGAUGGGAGGGGUACAAGUUCUCUAGAAGGCUGAGGACUAUAAAACAGAAAAUAAAGGUCUGGAAUAAGGAAGUAUUUGGGGAUUUGGUCUCUGCAAAGAAAGAGGCAGAGGCUAGAAUUGCUGCUCUUGAUUUGAUGGAAGGGCAGGGAGGGUUAGAUAACACUCUGAGAAAAGAAAGGGAAGAUUUAUACUUUAUGGUGAGUGACUUAGUUCACAAAGAAGAGGUGAAGUGGAGACAAAGGGGGAAAAUCCAGUGGGCAAGAGAUGGGGACAGCAACACCAAGUUUUUUCAUCGUAUAGCAAGUGGCAGAAGGAAAAGAAAUUUUAUCCAGAAGCUGGAAGUAGCGGGCGGUGGUGUGGUUGUCAGUGAAGGGGAAAUAGAACUGGAGAUAAUUAAUUUCUUCAAAAAUCUAUAUAGCAGCAAUGUAGAGGCGGGGUGGUGCUUGGAAGGUCUGAAUUGGAAUGCAAUUAGUGUUGAGGAGGCUGAAUGGUUGGAUCGACCCUUUGAAGAGGAGGAGGUUAAAAGGGCGGUUUUCGACUGUGGGAUUGAUAAAUCGCCAGGUCCAGAUGGAUUUUCCAUGCUUCUCUUUCAAUCUUGCUGGGAUAUUGUGAAAGAGGAUCUUAUGAAAGUUAUGGCGGACUUCUUCAACUGUGGUAUAAUCAAUGCAAUCACGAAUGAGACGUUCAUUUGCCUCAUUCCCAAAAAGAAGGAAUCCGUUAAAGUUAGUGAUUUUAGGCCUAUCAGCCUAGUGACAAGUUUGUACAAAAUGGUGUCGAAAGUUUUGGCUUCUAGAUUGCGGGAAGUGUUGGGCAGCACUAUAUCUAGUUAUCAGAGUGCUUUUGUGCAGGGUAGGCAAAUUUUGGAUGCAGCUUUGAUUGCCAAUGAAGUGGUGGAGGAAAGUCGAAGGCUUAACAAAUCUGGAAUGGUGUUCAAAAUUGACUUAGAGAAAGCCUACGAUCACGUGGAAUGGAGAUUUGUUGAUGAGGUUUUGAUUAGAAAAGGAUUUGGGGACAGGUGGAGAAGCUGGAUUCGUGGCUGCCUUGAGACGGCUAACUUUUCUGUGAUGAUUAAUGGAAGACCAAGGGGUAAAUUUCGUGCCUCUAGGGGUCUGAGACAAGGAGACCCGCUCUCCCCUUUCCUAUUCACUUUGGUGAUGGAUGUGUUAAGCAGAAUUAUGGAGAAAGCUCAAGAUGCUGAUGAGUUUCAUGGACUUUCCCCUGGGAAUGGGAUGGUAGAGAUAUCCCACCUUCAGUUCGCUGAUGAUACCAUUUUUUUCAUAGAGGAUAAAGAAGAGUACUGGAAUAAUCUCCUUCAAAUUCUGGAACUGUUCUGUUUUGUGUCGGGUAUGACAAUCAACAAAUCAAAAUGUUCCCUAGUUGGAAUUAAUCUUGAUGACGGGAUGGUGAAUGAGAUGGCUGGGGCAUGGGGAUGCGAUGUGGGGGUCUGGCCUAUGUUGUAUUUGGGUCUUCCCUUAGGUGGGAACCCCAGGGCGAUCAAGUUUUGGGAUCCCGUUGUGGAAAAAGUGGAGAAUAGAUUACAAAAAUGGAAGCGUGCUUGCCUAUCCAAAGGGGGAAGACUCACAAUGAUUCAGGCUGUGUUGUGUAGUAUUCCUAUCUACUACAUGUCCCUUUUCAGGAUUCCUAUUGGAGUAGCCAAUAGAAUAGAGAAGCUUAUGAGAGAUUUCUUGUGGGAAGGCUUGGAUGGGAAAAGUAACCACGCUGUGAGUUGGGAGGUGGUGGGCAAGGCAAAAUUCUGUGGAGGGUUAGGGGUGGGGUCGUUGAGGGCUAGAAGUGUGGCUUUGCGGGCAAAAUGGCUUUGGCGGUUUCCUAAUGAACCUCAUGCUCUUUGGCAUAAAGUGAUCAGAAGUAUUUAUGGAAUGGAUACAAAUGGGUGGGAUGCUAAACCUGCGACUCGGGGAUCUUGCCGCUGCCCCUGGAGGGACAUUUCUAGCGGCUAUAAUCUGUUUCUUCAAGGCUGUGUUUUUGUGGUAGGUUCUGGAGUUAGGGUCAGAUUCUGGGAAGAUGACUGGGGCAGGGGUGGUGUUUUGAAAGAGGUGUUCCCAAGACUCUUCAAUCUGUCCAGGAAGCAAAACCACAAUAUUUCCUCUUUUGCGAGCUCGGAUGGGCUCCUUCUCAGCUGGGAUUUUGGGUUCAGAAGGAAUCUCAAUGAAUUGGAGAUAACAGAGGUGGCUAGAUUGUUGGAUCUAUUGGAGGGUGUGAGGUUGUUCACCUCCAGAUUGGAUAAGAGAAUAUGGAAGUUUGACCCCUCUGGUCUAUUCACCUGUCAUUCUUUCUGUUCUCAUAUUCAGAAUUGUGGUGAGGGGGAGAUCUUUCCCCCAUACACUCAAAUUUGGAAGGCCAAGACUCCUCUGAAAGUUAAGAUCUUUGUGUGGCAAGCGGUGUUGGGAAAACUAAAUACUGGGGAUACUUUACAGAGACGUUGUCCCUAUUUGUGCAUUAGCCCUCACUGGUGUGCUCUAUGUAAUAAGGCUGGGGACACCGUGG
rnacentral:lncRNA from 1 species